UACGAAGGGGGCUAGCGUUGCUCGGAAAUCACUGGGCGUAAAGCGCACGUAGGCGGACUCUUAAGUCGGUGGUGAAAUCCUGGAGCUCAACUCCAGAACUGCCUUCGAUACUGAGAGUCUCGAGUCCGAGAGAGGUGAGUGGAACUGCGAGUGUAGAGGUGAAAUUCGUAGAUAUUCGCAAGAACACCAGUGGCGAAGGCGGCUCACUGGCUCGGUACUGACGCUGAGGUGCGAAAGCGUGGGGAGCAAACAGG
rnacentral:rRNA from 1 species